UUUCUCUGAUGGUUAGUAAAGGACUUGAAUUAUUUUAAUGUCUUUUCCUUGAUAACUUUGUACUUUCUCUCUACUUGUUCUAUGUAAAUGUAUACUGCAUCGUUAUCCAAGAGGAGACUCUGCUGAGGCACCGCCCCCUGGAUGUAGUAUAUUCUAGAAUAUAAGUACUGUCAGCUCAUUUCCUGCCGCCCAAAAACAUACACAUUUACACAAACAAAUUACUAAAUGAUCCAUCCAGUGCCACCCAAAAAAGAAAAAGAAGUGCAUCCAAAGUGCUUGGAUGUCUAUAUGUCUAUGUAAGGACGUGUAUUUGAAUGGCCCUUGCUUCCUUUUAUUUGUAUUGUUUUGAAGUCUUCCGUUUCUAAUGCAUCAUGAUAUUUGUUAUUGGAGCUCGUCUAUGAUUGUGUCGGGCAAACCCAUUUCCUUGUCAGUGUGUUUUCACAGUGAAAGAAAAACUGACAUACUUGUUAUGCAGAUGGGAUGCGUUGAUGUUUAUAAUCCACAGAAUGUUAGGAAAGACUCAGUCUUUGCUUGAACAGAUUUGUAUGACAAGCAAAGUUCACUUCGGUAACAGAUAGCUAAAAGGACAAAGACUUGCCUAGUACUCCAUUGGAUAAUUUGUGGCGAGGAAGCUCUGAAAAUUUCACCCAUAGAGCUGUGCUGUUUGCACCGUCCUAUCUGAAGUGGUCAUUUUAACAUUGGGCCAUGCUAUUUCCGCCCUGGUUUUUGCUUUAAAACUCCUUUUUACAGUGUUUUCCUAUAUGGCCCCUGUUGUCCCUCUUUUGGUUUGACUGCUUCCUUUUCUUUCCUUGCUGGUCCCACCUUCUUCUUUCUUCUUCUCUUUGUUCUCUCUCUUUUCAACUCAUGGUGAUGUUGAUCUAAAGGAACCUAUGCCCGACUGCAGAUGCCGGCUUCACUACAUUAUAUUCCUUCUUUCAAAAGUAUCCAAUGCUCUGUAAUUGAUAUCCUGUUAAUGUGGUGCUUACUGACUGUAAUGCUUAGAUAUGCACCCUGCAGAUGCAAUUUUCUUACCAAAGAAACUUGUGCAAGUCCCUCAACCUGCUUGCCAGCGAGAUCCCACGGACUUUGUCAGGAGGAUCCCAAAUUCUCCUUCAAAGAGUUUGCCGGCAAGCUGGAGUCUGUCGUGCUGAUGAACCAGGAUGAGAAGUCGUUCAACGGGAGCCGAACCUCUUUUUCAGGAAUUUUAAAUGUGUGCAUUUUGAACAGAUGUUGUAAGAAACCUCAAAAUGAAAGAAACAGAUGAUUGGAUUUUCAACAAAAUCUAGUCUUGGAUUAUGCACAGA